rnacentral:rRNA from 1 species
AUUCAGCAGCCGCGGUAAUACGGAGGGUGCAAGCAUUAAUCGGAGUCAUUGGGCGUAAAGAGCGCGUAGGCGGGGAUGUAAGUCAGACGUGAAAUCCCGGAGCUUAACUCCGGAACUGCAUUUGAAACUGCAUCUCUCGAGGGUAGGCGGAGAAAACGGAAUUCCACAUGUAGCGGUGAAAUGCGUAGAUAUGUGGAGGAACACCGGUGGCGAAGGCGGUUUUCUAGCUUAUUCCUGACGCUGAGGCGCGAAAGCAAGGGGAGCGAACAGGAUUAGAUACCCUGGUAGUCCUUGCCGUAAACGAUGCAUACUUGGUGUAGCUGGACUCAACCCUAGCUGUGCCGUAGCUAACGUGUUAGGUAUGCCGCCUGGGGAGUACGCUCGCAAGGGUGAAACUCAAAAGAAUUGACGGGGACCCGCACAAGCAGUGGAGCAUGUGGUUUAAUUCGAUGCAACGCGAAGAACCUUACCCAGGCUUGACAUGUAGUAGACGGUGCCAGAGAUGGCACUUCCCUUCGGGGCUGCUACACAGGUGCUGCAUGGCUGUCGUCAGCUCGUGCCGUGAGGUGUUGGGUUAAGUCCCGCAACGAGCGCAACCCUUAUCGCUAGUUGCCAGCACGUAAUGGUGGGAACUCUAGCGAGACUGCCUAGGUUAACUAGGAGGAAGGUGAGGAUGACGUCAAGUCCGCAUGGCCCUUAUGCCUGGGGCUACACACGUGCUACAAUGGCCGGUACAGAAGGCAGCGAAGCCGCAAGGUGUAGCAAAUCCCAAAAAACCGGUCCCAGUUCGGAUUGUCGUCUGCAACUCGACGACAUGAAGUUGGAAUUGCUAGUAAUGGCGUGUCAGCAACAACGCCGUGAAUACGUUCCCGGGUCUUGUACACACCGCCCGUCACAUCAUGGGAGUUGGUUUUACCCGAAGUCGCUGACUCAACCGCAAGGGGAGAGGCGCCGAAGGUGAGGCUGAUGACUGGGAUGAAGUCGUAACAAGGUAACCAAU